AGCAGUGGGGAAUAUUGCACAAUGGGCGAAAGCCUGAUGCAGGGACGCCGCUUGAGGGAUGACGGCCUUCGGGUUGUAAACCUCUUUCAGCAGGGAAGAAGCGAAAGUGACGGUACCUGCAGAAGAAGCGCCGGCUAACUACGUGCCAGCAGCCGCGGUAAUACGUAGGGCGCAAGCGUUGUCCGGAAUUAUUGGGCGUAAAGAGCUCGUAGGCGGUCUGUCGCGUCGGAUGUGAAAGCCCGGGGCUUAACCCCGGGUCUGCAUUCGAUACGGGCAGACUAGAGUGUGGUAGGGGAGAUCGGAAUUCCUGGUGUAGCGGUGAAAUGCGCAGAUAUCAGGAGGAACACCGGUGGCGAAGGCGGAUCUCUGGGCCAUUACUGACGCUGAGGAGCGAAAGCGUGGGGAGCGAACAGGAUUAGAUACCCUGGUAGUCCACGCCGUAAACGGUGGGAACUAGGUGUUGGCGACAUUCCACGUCGUCGGUGCCGCAGCUAACGCAUUAAGUUCCCCGCCUGGGGAGUACGGCCGCAAGGCUAAAACUCAAAGGAAUUGACGGGGGCCCGCACAAGCAGCGGAGCAUGUGGCUUAAUUCGACGCAACGCGAAGAACCUUACCAAGGCUUGACAUACACCGGAAAGCAUUAGAGAUA
rnacentral:rRNA from 1 species